UACAGAGGGUGCGAGCGUUACUCGGAGUUACUGGGCGUAAAGGGCGCGUAGGCGGUCAUGUAAGUGAGCUGUGAAAUCCCUGGGCUUAACCUAGGAACGGCAGCUUAAACUGUGUGACUGGAGUACGGUAGAGGACAGAGGAAUUUCCGGUGUAGCGGUGAAAUGCGUAGAUAUCGGAAGGAACACCAGUGGCGAAGGCGACUGUCUGGACUGAUACUGACGCUGAGGCGCGAAAGCGUGGGGAGCAAACAGG
rnacentral:rRNA from 1 species